GGACUACUGGGGUAUCUAAUCCUGUUUGAUCCCCACGCUUUCGUGCCUCAGUGUCAAUCAGACCAUAGUAAGCUGCCUUCGCAAUCGGUGUUCUGUGACAUAUCUAUGCAUUUCACCGCUACUUGUCACAUUCCGCCUACCUCUAGUCCAUUCAAGCCCGACAGUAUCAAGGGCACUGCGACAGUUAAGCUGCCGUCUUUCACCCCUGACUUAUCAGGCCACCUACGCACCCUUUAAACCCAAUAAAUCCGGAUAACGCUUGGAUCCUCCGUAUUACCGCGGCUGCUGGCAC
rnacentral:rRNA from 1 species